AGAACGAACGCUGGCGGCAUGCCUAACACAUGCAAGUCGAACGCUUGCCGAGGCUUCGGUUUCGGCAGGAGUGGCGCACGGGUGAGUAGCGCGUGGGAACCUGCCUUGGAGUGGGGGACAACCGAGGGAAACUUCGGCUAAUACCGCAUACGCCGGUUGUCUUGCAAGAGAUGGCCGGGAAAGAUUUAUCGCUCCGAGAGGGGCCCGCGUCGGAUUAGGUAGUUGGCGGGGUAACGGCCCACCAAGCCUGUGAUCCGUAGCUGGUCUGAGAGGAUGAUCAGCCACACUGGGACUGAGACACGGCCCAGACUCCUACGGGAGGCAGCAGUGGGGAAUAUUGGACAAUGGGCGCAAGCCUGAUCCAGCAAUGCCGCGUGAGUGAUGAAGGCCUUCGGGUUGUAAAGCUCUUUCGCCGCGACGAUGAUGACGGUAGCGGGAGAAGAAGCCCGGCUAACUUCGUGCCAGCAGCCGCGGU
rnacentral:rRNA from 1 species